UUCCUACGGGAGGCAGCAGUAGGGAAUCUUGGACAAUGGGCGCAAGCCUGAUCCAGCCAUGCCGCGUGAGUGAAGAAGGCCUUAGGGUCGUAAAGCUCUUUCGCCUGUGAUGAUAAUGACAGUAGCAGGUAAAGAAACCCCGGCUAACUCCGUGCCAGCA
rnacentral:rRNA from 1 species